UGGAGAGUAAACUAAAUUAAGUUGUUGGGCUCAUGAUCCAAUCAUAAGGCGAACGCCUUCCUCCUU
rnacentral:tRNA from 1 species